rnacentral:rRNA from 1 species
AACGAACGCUGGCGGCAUGCCUAACACAUGCAAGUCGAACGAGACCUUCGGGUCUAGUGGCGCACGGGUGCGUAACGCGUUGGAACCUGCCCUUAGGUUCGGAAUAACUCCCCGAAAGGGGUGCUAAUACCGGAUAAUGUCUUCGGACCAAAGAUUUAUCGCCUUUGGAUGGGCCCGCGUUGGAUUAGCUAGUUGGUAGGGUAAAAGCCUACCAAGGCGACGAUCCAUAGCUGGUCUGAGAGGAUGAUCAGCCACACUGGGACUGAGACACGGCCCAGACUCCUACGGGAGGCAGCAGUGGGGAAUAUUGGACAAUGGGGGAAAGGCUGAUCCAGCAAUGCCGCGUGAGUGAUGAAGGCCUUAGGGUUGUAAAGCUCUUUUAACCGGGAUGAUAAUGACAGUACCGGGAGAAUAAGCUCCGGCUAACUCCGUG